GCCGCUAUAGCUCAGCUGGCCAGAGCUACUGCCUUGUAAGCAGAGGGUCGUAGGUUCGAGUCCUACUGGCGGCACCA
rnacentral:tRNA from 1 species